AUUGAACGCUGGCGGCAUGCCUUACACAUGCAAGUCGAACGGCAGCACGGGAGCAAUCCUGGUGGCGAGUGGCGAACGGGUGAGUAAGGUAUCGGAACGUGCCCAGUCGUGGGGGAUAACGUAGCGAAAGUUACGCUAAUACCGCAUACGAUCUAUGGAUGAAAGCGGGGGAUCGCAAGACCUCGCGCGAUUGGAGCGGCCGAUAUCAGAUUAGGGUAGUUGGUGGGGUAAAGGCUCACCAAGCCGACGAUCUGUAGCUGGUCUGAGAGGACGACCAGCCACACUGGGACUGAGACACGGCCCAGACUCCUACGGGAGGCAGCAGUGGGGAAUUUUGGACAAUGGGCGAAAGCCUGAUCCAGCCAUGCCGCGUGCAGGAUGAAGGCCUUCGGGUUGUAAACUGCUUUUGUACGGAACGAAAAGGUUUGGGCUAAUAAGCUGAGCUCAUGACGGUACCGUAAGAAUAAGCACCGGCUAACUACGUGCCAGCCGCCGCGGUAA
rnacentral:rRNA from 1 species